GCUGCAAACGAUGAAGAAGUUGAGGAGUCAAUUGAAGAUGAUGAGGACACAGUCUUUAUUACAAAAAAAGUUAAGAAGUUUAUGCGAAGAAAAAGACAAGGAUACAAGAAAAUACUAUUAGGCAAAGGAGAAUUUAGUAAAGAUAAGAAAAAAGAAAAGGAGCAGCUACUAUGCUAUAAAUGUAAAAAGCUGGGCCAUUUCAAGGCCAAUUGCCCAACUCU
rnacentral:lncRNA from 1 species